CCUACGGGUGGCUGCAGUGAGGAAUAUUGGUCAAUGGGCGCGAGCCUGAACCAGCCAAGUAGCGUGAAGGAUGACUGCCCUACGUGUUGUAAACUGCUUUUAUAAAGGAAUAAAGUGAGGCACGUGUGCCUUUUUGUAUGUACUUUAUGAAUAAGGAUCGGCGAACUCCGGGCCAGCCGCCGCGGUAAUACGGAGGAUCCGAGCGUUAUCCGGAUUUAUUGGGGUUAAAGGGUGCGGAGAUGGGUUGUUAAGUCAGUUGUGAAAGUUUGCGGCUCAACCGUAAAAUUGCAAUUGAUACUGGCAGGCUUGAGUACAGUUGAGGUAGGCGGAAUGCGUGGUGUAGCGGUGAAAUGCUUAGAUAUCACGAAGAACUCCGAUUGCGAAGGCAGCUUACUAAAAUGCCACUGACAUUGAUGCUCGAAAGUGUGGGUAUCAAACAGGAUUAGAUACCCGGGUAGUC
rnacentral:rRNA from 1 species